ACAGAAGCACUCCCACACUUAGAAAAAAAAACCUAAACUCCAAUCUAUGCCGCUUAAGAAACACUCAGAUCUCUUCCUCUUCAAACUGGCGCAGAUCUCCUCCUCUUCGAAGUAGCUUCGAUCUCUUCCUCCGCAACUCGCCAUGCCUCUCUCGACGGACAGCCGGACCACCAUCGAUGUUUAUGUGAGUAUUCGUUUUGGCUGCUCUUUGGAUCUGAAUUGGAUCUUAACGAGUUCAAACCACUUUUAAAUGUUGAAUAAAAGUCUGGAAUCAUAAAGGCAAUGAGAAGCUAAGAUGAGAAAGGGAGAAUACUAAAGAAAGUAGCAGCAUGUCGAGUUCUAUUCGUCGUAGAGGAAUCAGUAGAGCAAAUCGAGCUAUAUGAGGAUUCACGCCACUUCCUAACACCGUUUGUUUCGUCGUUGAAGACCAGAGACAGACCGAGGUCAUGAGACACGCCGGGGAGGCUUGAUGGAAGAAGCAUUGCAAGCAACGGCGGCGGGGGAUCGUUGGCAAACGGAAUCUCGUUGCGGCGGCUGAGGGCAUUGUUACGUGAUUAGGGUUUUUUUUCUUAAUUUUUGCAUCCGGUUUAAUUUUGUAAUUGGUUCAAUUUUUAACUCUUAACCAAUUCCAAAUUUGGGUGGUUUAUUAAUAUCAAUAUAUAUUAAUUAAACAAAUUCUCUCACUAAA